ACUAAAUUGGCAGAAUUUGAUGCUUUAAAUUUAGAAUUUAAUUAAGUAAUUUAUAUUACAUUUAGUA
rnacentral:tRNA from 1 species